rnacentral:sRNA from 1 species
AAGCCGCAGAGGCCGCCGUCGUCUCCUCCGCGUCCCCGCCCGCCGGCUGCUGUCGGAGGUUGACAGGUCGAGGCGGGGAGGCGGCGGCGGCGGCGACUGCAGAGCCAGGCGCCCAAGACGGAGACCCCAUGGGGAACGCUCCGAGUCACAGCAGUGAAGACGAAGCGGCAGCUGCCGGUGGCGAGGGCUGGGGCCCACACCAGGACUGGGCCGCGGUCUCGGGCACGACCCCCGGCCCGGGCGUCGCGGCUCCAGCGCUACCACCCGCCGCGGCGCUGCUGGAGCCGGCCAGGCUGCGAGAGGCUGCUGCAGCGUUGCUGCCCACACCCCCCUGCGAGUCGCUGGUGUCGAGGCAUCGCGGCGCGUUGUUUCGCUGGCUGGAAGAGCGGCUGGGCCGCGGCGAAGAGUCUGUCACUCUGGAGCAGUUCCGGGAGCUGCUGGAGGCUCGCGGCGCCGGCUGCUCUAGCGAGCAGUUCGAGGAGGCCUUUGCCCAGUUUGAUGCUGAGGGUGAUGGGACAGUUGAUGCCGAGAACAUGUUGGAGGCCCUCAAGAAUUCCAGUGGAGCUAAUCUUCAGGGGGAGCUGAGCCACAUCAUCAGACAACUACAGGCCUGCUCUCUGGUUCCAGGUUUCAUAGACAUAUUUUCAGAGUCGAAGGAGGGCCUUGAUAUUCACUCGUCAAUGAUACUGCGCUUCCUGCACCGCAAUCGGCUCUCCAGCGCGGUGAUGCCCUACCCGAUGCUGGAGCACUGCAAUAACAUGUGCACCAUGCGGUCUUCCGUCCUGAAGGAGUCUCUGGAUCAGCUGGUACAAAAGGAAAAGGAAAGCCCUGGAGAUCUAACUAGAAGUCCAGAGAUGGAUAAACUCAAGUCAGUAGCAAAGUGCUAUGCUUAUAUAGAAACAUCCUCCAACUCGGCAGACAUUGACAAGAUGACAAAUGGAGAAACCUCAUCCUACUGGCAGUCAGAUGGCAGUGCCUGUUCACACUGGAUUCGUUUAAAAAUGAAGCCAGAUGUUGUGCUUAGGCACCUGUCCAUUGCAGUGGCUGCCACUGACCAGAGCUACAUGCCACAGCAGGUGACAGUAGCUGUAGGGAGGAAUGCCAGCGAUCUUCAGGAAGUCCGAGAUGUGCACAUCCCCAGCAAUGUCACUGGCUAUGUGACGCUGCUGGAAAAUGCCAACGUCAGUCAGCUCUAUGUCCAGAUUAACAUAAAGCGUUGUCUUAGCGAUGGCUGCGACACUAGAAUUCAUGGUCUCAGGGCUGUUGGCUUUCAAAGAGUUAAGAAGUCUGGGGUCUCAGUCUCAGAUGCUUCUGCAAUAUGGUAUUGGUCUCUGCUGACAUCUCUGGUGACGGCUUCUAUGGAGACAAAUCCCGCCUUUGUCCAGACAGUGCUGCACAAUACUCAGAAGGCGCUGCGGCACAUGCCUCCACUCUCUCUCUCACCAGGAUCUACAGAUUUCUCAACUUUCCUCUCCCCUAAUGUGCUGGAAGAAGUGGACAGUUUCCUCAUAAGGAUAACUAGCUGCUGUUCUACCCCAGAGGUAGAACUGACUCUUCUGGCUUUUGCUCUCGCAAGAGGAAGUGUUGCCAAAGUCAUGAGCUCUCUAUGCACCAUCAGUGACCAUCUGGACACGCAGUAUGAUGCCUCGUCCCUCAUCUUGUCCAUGGCGUCAGUCAGACAGAACCUGCUCCUCAAAUAUGGUAAACCUCUCCAGUUGACUCUUCAGGCAUGUGAUGUCAAAGGAAAAGAAGAUAAGUCUGGACCCGAAAACCUCCUUGUUGAACCGUGGACAAGGGAUGGUUUUCUUACGGAGACUGGAAAAACCAGAGCCAGCACUAUUUUUUCUACCGGAACUGAAUCUGCCUUCCAAGUUACACAGAUAAGAAUUAUGGUUCGACGUGGUGGCAUUGGUGCCCAGUGUGGGUUGGUGUUUGCCUAUAACUCAUCUUCAGAUAAAUUUUGUGCGGAAGAACACUUCAAAAGGUUUGAAAAAUAUGACAAAUGGAAGCUUCAGGAGCUCAGGCAAUUUGUAAAAAGCAGGAUUGGUUGCUCAUCUGAUGACCUUGGAGAGGAUGAUCCUAUUGGCUGGUUUGAACUGGAAGAAGAAUGGGAUGAAGCAGAUGUGAAGCUGCAACAGUGCAGAGUUGCCAAAUAUUUGAUGGUGAAGUUCCUCUGCACCCGUCAGGAGUCAGCAGAGCGCUUGGGAGUGCAAGGCUUGACCAUCAGUGGGUACCUCCGGCCUGCAAGAGCAGAAGCAGAACAGAGCGUCACCUGUGCGCACUGCAGAAAGGACACAGAGGAGAGUGUCUGUGGGGCCACGCUGCUCCUCAGGACCCUUCAGUUUAUCCAGCAGCUCGCCCAUGACCUGGUGCAGCAGAAGGAAAGUGGCUUAAAAUAUAAAUCUUUUCUGGACUUCGCGGGUCUUGAUUUGCAGAUCUUCUGGAAUUUUUACAGUAAAUUAAAGCAAAACCCGAGGGAAGAAUGCGUCUCUGCCCAAACCCUGCUUCUGCAGCUCCUCCAGAGCUGCUUCUCUGUGCUGCAGGGAGAUGUACUGGCUGCUUCUGAGGAGGAAAAGGCUCCAAUCCAAAGCCCUAAAGGAGUAGAGGCUGCCAAGGAGCUGUACACACACUUGUGUGAUGUGGUGGACAAGGUGGAUGGAGACUCUGUGCCCAUGGAGAUACUAAAACAAGAAGUCAGGAAUACCCUUCUCAAUGGGGCUGCCAUCUUCUUUCCUAAUCGACAGACCCGACGGAACCAUCUCUUCACCAUGAUGAAGAAUGUCACUGAGCAGGAGCACAAGCAGUCCCUGCAGCUCACUUUCCGUUCACUGUGCACGUAUUUUAGUGACAAGGAUCCAGGCGGCCUUCUUCUUUUACCUGAGAAGAACGACCUGGCCAAGAUGAACAUCAGUGAAGUCCUGGCGGUCAUGGACACUCUCGUCUCUGUUGCUGCUCGAGAGUGCGAGCUGUUAAUGCUCAGUGGGGCCCCAGGGGAGGUGGGCUCUGUGCUCUUCUCCCUGUUCUGGUCCGUCCAAGGCAGCCUGCUAUCCUGGUGCUACCUGCAGCUGAAGAGCACGGACUCUGGAGCCAAAGAUCUUGCCGUGGACCUUAUUGAAAAAUAUGUGGGGCAGUUUCUGGCAAGCAUGAGAGCGAUUUUGGAAUCCCUUUUCUCACAGUACAGUGGAAAAACCAUAGUAGAAAGAUUAUGUAACUCAGUGUUUUCAAUGGCAGCUCGUCAACUGGUUAUCUUCCUGCUGGACUUCUGCACUUUAGACAUCCCACACUGCGUGCUCUUGAGAGAGUUCAGCGUCCUCACAGAACUCCUGAAGAAGCUCUGUAGUGGCCCCGAAGGAGGACUGAGGAAGGUAACUCGAGUCGGCACUUGAGCCGCCCCGUGUUCUCUCUCAGGAGUGAUGGGACACACUUAGUGAAGUGGACCACGGACUGCAGAUAGGCACAGCUGAGCAGCCUCUAGAAGGCUCCCUUGAUUUUAUCAGUGGGCUUGCCAACAAGGGUGAAUGUCAGUCCAAGUCGAUGUGGCCUGGUCAGCAUUAGAAAGGAGACGCAGAAAAAGCUGUAGAGAUGAAUCUCAUCAUUUUAUAGUUGAUGAAGUUAUAUAAAAACCAUGUAAGUGAGUGACAAAAUUGAAGUCUAGAAGAGAAAAUGUAUGUUGAAAGGCAAAUUACAUUUUGUCUUUAGAAGAAAUUUCUCCCUUACUUAAUUAUACAUACAUAACGUUU